CGGCCCGGCCGGGGCCCAUCGCGAGCUGCCGGGUAGGUAAAAGUAAAAAAGUUGUUAAGAGGCGCGGUGUCGGCGUGCUUGUAUUUGCGGGAGAGAAUUAUCUGGAGGUGCUGGGUAGCCGGGAAGACUUGGACGGAUCUGGCCCGGGAAUGGGUCUGGGCCUGGAUUCUGGUGUGGUGUAGGGUAGGCGUAGAUAGAUGAGUGGUCUAGGGUAGAUACAGGGUAGCCAGAAGUCUAGUAUAUAGUAUGGGGGUUGUAGGGUAGGUCUGGACACCGUUUUCCACUUCGCCCUUCCCUUUACUCGAGGGAGGACGAUCUUGGCUGGGACGGCGGUGUAGGGUAGGCUUAAUUAACGAUUACAUGAUCUGUGUCGCUCUAGGGUAGGUGAAAAUCCCAUAUAUAUCUGAUCACAUUUGGUGAAGAGGUGGUUUGGCUGGUGAGAUGGACAAAAGUGCAAUGUAGAAUGAUAUGUGAUUUUGCAAAAGUGGGUGUGAAAUUGGAAAGUCGGUUUUCCCGCACAGAUGAGAGCACGUUUGAGGUGCCAUGAGAUGCACCUCUCUGAGACGACCUCAACGGUGCCACCCAUGUGUUGGUCGGGCUCCUGUGCCGCCGUCCAGGGCGGGAUAAGUAGAGAAUGAGGUGGUGUAGGGUAGGUGGCCAGGUCCAGGGUAGGUUCGCCAAAUCCGUCAAUCCGGCUUGAAUGGAAGGACAGGUCUAGGGUAGGCCAGAGUCGGGUCUAGGGUAGGCAACUCUCACCCUCGAAGUGGUCUACCCGGUAGCCAACUUCAAUCGCCUCUCACGGCCGCCACGGAUCUCGUAUGACGACGGGACUACCACCAUCGGAUUCGCCUUGGUCGAAAUAGCUGGUAUAUGCACUUUUGAAAAAAUGCGUGCAAAAUGGUUUUGUGGUUUGGUGGUCGUGAGUCGAUUUUUUUGUUUUCCCAUACAAAUGAAUUUUGCGGAAAAUAAAAAGUGGCCCACGAGGCAGUCCUGGCGUGCGGCCCACUAAAACGGUCUCGGAGGGUAUAUGAGAAGGGAGCAAAUCCGGCCGAGCCUGAAAGGGUGAGGACAAACCGGGCGAGCAACCUCUCAGUAUCAGAUCUUGCAGACUUCCACUGCGUGUCCCUCUGUACAGCUUUGCAGGCUCCGGCCUCGGCAGCGGGGGGUUCAUAGUGGUCGUCGACCUCCACGAAACUGCACGCUCCGGCGUGACAGCGUACUGGGGAUGCCUGUGUAGAUGCAGUCCGGGCUUGCCUGGACCGCUAGCAGAUGGGCUCUGUGGAUGACUGGCCGCUGGCUAGACCUGAAACCUGAGCAACGGGAGGUAACCUCUCGCCGCGGACACCGGAAUGGUAGAAGCGGCGUGCUGCGUCCUCCUCUUGGGGCCCCUAAGCCACACCUCCCAUAGCGGGUUCGGUGCGGCGGACGGACGCCCUGGGGAAUUUAGAGGGGGAAAGCGGAUUGCCCUAGCGGUGUUGUUGGCCCUGCCGACCUCACUGCGAAAGGCGCGACUUCACCGUCGCCACCCAGUAACUUGUC
rnacentral:misc_RNA from 1 species